GCCAGGGUUAAGCACCACUGAUUUGGUUUAAUAGAAGCUGAAGUGAUGUCCCAUAUCUACUUGGCUGGGAAAUGCCACAAGACUAGGCCGUGCAACAUUUCCGCAGUGCUCCUCGCUACAAAGACAUUCCCCUAAGGCUGGUGGGCAACUCAACACUCAGCUCAGUACGUGGUCAGCUCGUCCUCCAUAGGAGCCUUAUGCCUUGGUGAGGAGAUCUCUGAAGAAAUUGCUGAUGAAAGUCCAACAGGCUCUUCCAGUUUGUCUGGUCGGUCACAUUUGCUGAAACCUGGAGGAAUUGUUAGUGGAAGCUCAACAGGCCUGACUCAGUCUGACUGUCCAUUCUUCUGGAAGCUGCAGAGAAAAGAAACCUGGAAACCUUAUAUGCUGACAAAAAGGGACACAAUUGGAUAUGAUGGUUAUUUUACCAAGGUUUUGAAAUGUCGUGCUUUCAAAUAUAAACAGACUGCUUUAAGGAAUCGAAGUUGACUUAUAGAGCCAA
rnacentral:lncRNA from 1 species